GAACUAGAUUCUAAAGAUUCCCUGAUCAUUUCACCUACAAAAGUAACUUUUGCUGAAACAUCAUCAGAGGCUACUACCCCAGAUCAGAAUGUGAACCAAUUCCCAGUUUAUGGUGCUCCAGAUUACUGUGGGAUUCCAUACAUGUUGCCGGGCAAUUUACCGUUCAUUCCGGAGAUUAAAUUUUCCAGCCAGAGUGAUGUUUAUCUGCCUGGAAGCCAGCGGAAGUUUGCAACUUGUGCUCCUAUUAUUAUCCAUCCAUCCCGUAUUCCUUUUCCACCGUCUUUAGCCCUCAGUCUGGCUCAUUCAGGCUGUGGUAAUGCAUCAAUUCACGAGAUCCUAUAGAGUUUUAAAUUUGGACAGCAUCAGAGAUCUCCCGAGAUCAUGUCAGACACCUGGAGUCCUUAGAGAUGAAGAAAAAUUUCACCAGUUGCAGCUCAUUUUU